rnacentral:rRNA from 1 species
UGGGGAAUAUUGCACAAUGGGCGCAAGCCUGAUGCAGCCAUGCCGCGUGUGUGAAGAAGGCCUUCGGGUUGUAAAGCACUUUCAGCGGGGAGGAAGGCGUUAAGGUUAAUAACCUUGGCGAUUGACGUUACCCGCAGAAGAAGCACCGGCUAACUCCGUGCCAGCAGCCGCGGUAAUACGGAGGGUGCAAGCGUUAAUCGGAAUUACUGGGCGUAAAGCGCACGCAGGCGGUCUGUCAAGUCGGAUGUGAAAUCCCCGGGCUCAACCUGGGAACUGCAUUCGAAACUGGCAGGCUAGAGUCUUGUAGAGGGGGGUAGAAUUCCAGGUGUAGCGGUGAAAUGCGUAGAAAUCUGGAGGAAUACCGGUGGCGAAGGCGGCCCCCUGGACAAAGACUGACGCUCAGGUGCGAAAGCGUGGGGAGCAAACAGG